rnacentral:rRNA from 1 species
AGCUAGUUGGUGAGGUAACGGCUCACCAAGGCGACGAUCCGUAGCUGGUCUGAGAGGAUGAUCAGCCACAUCGGGACUGAGACACGGCCCGAACUCCUACGGGAGGCAGCAGUGGGGAAUAUUGGACAAUGGGGGCAACCCUGAUCCAGCCAUGCCGCGUGUGUGAAGAAGGCCUUCGGGUUGUAAAGCACUUUCAGUGAGGAAGAAGGCCUUGGGCUUAAUACGUCCGAGGAAGGACAUCACUCACAGAAGAAGCACCGGCUAACUCCGUGCCAGCAGCCGCGGUAAUACGGAGGGUGCGAGCGUUAAUCGGAAUUACUGGGCGUAAAGCGCGCGUAGGUGGCGUGAUAAGCCGGUUGUGAAAGCCCCGGGCUCAACCUGGGAACGGCAUCCGGAACUGUCAUGCUAGAGUGCAGGAGAGGAAGGUAGAAUUCCCGGUGUAGCGGUGAAAUGCGUAGAGAUCGGGAGGAAUACCAGUGGCGAAGGCGGCCUUCUGGACUGACACUGACACUGAGGUGCGAAAGCGUGGGUAGCAAACAGGAUUAGAUACCCUGGUAGUCCACGCCGUAAACGAUGUCGACUAGCCGUUGGGAGCCUCGAGUUCUUAGUGGCGCAGUUAACGCGAUAAGUCGACCGCCUGGGGAGUACGGCCGCAAGGUUAAAACUCAAAUGAAUUGACGGGGGCCCGCACAAGCGGUGGAGCAUGUGGUUUAAUUCGAUGCAACGCGAAGAACCUUACCUACCCUUGACAUCUUCGGAAGCCGAGAGAGAUCUUGGUGUGCCUUCGGGAACCGAAAGACAGGUGCUGCA